GACGAACGCUGGCGGCGUGCCUAAUACAUGCAAGUCGAACGCAGUGGGGACGGGGGAGUAACACGUGGGUAACCUCCCAUCAGAGGGGAGAACACUUGGAAACUGGUGCUAAACCGCUACUGAUGGAUGAACCAGCGGUGCAUUAGCUAGUUGGGGAGGUAACGGCUCACCAAGGCCACGAUGCAUAGCCGACCUGAGAGGGUGAUCGGCCACACUGGGACUGAGACACGGCCCAGACUCCUACGGGAGGCAGCAGUGGGGAAUCUUCGGCAAUGGACGAAAGUCUGACCGAGCAACGCCGAGUGAGUGAAGAAGGUUUUCGGAUCGUAAAGCUCUGUUGUUGGAGAAGCGGUAUCUAACCAGAAAGCCACGGCUAACUCCGUGCCAGCAGCCGCGGUAAUUC
rnacentral:rRNA from 1 species